CCCUUAGACGUUCUGGGCCGCACGCGCGCUACACUGACGAAGGCAACGAGCUACUCUUCACCGAAAGGUGUGGGUAAUCUUUUGAAACUUCGUCGUGCUGGGGAUAGAUCCUUGCAAUUUUUGAUCUUAAACGAGGAAUUCCUAGUAAGCGCAAGUCAUCAACUUGCGUUGAUUACGUCCCUGCCCUUUGUACACACCGCCCGUCGCUACUACCGAUUGGAUGGUUUAGUGAGGCCUUCGGAUCCGCGAUUUUAUUGUGGAGAAGUUGGACAAACUCAGUCAUUUAGAGGAAGUAAAAGUCGUAACA
rnacentral:rRNA from 1 species